UACGUAGGGAGCAAGCGUUGUCCGGAAUCAUUGGGCGUAAAGCGCGCGUAGGUGGCUUCGUAAGUCCGUUGUGAAAGUCAAAGGCUCAACCUUUGAAAGCCGAUGGAUACUGCGGAGCUAGAGUACGGAAGAGGCGAGUGGAAUUCCUGGUGUAGCGGUGGAAUGCGCAGAUAUCUGGAGGAACACCGGUGGCGAAGGCGGCAUCCUGGACCAACACUGACACUGAGGAGCGAAAGCCAGGGGAGCAAACGGG
rnacentral:rRNA from 1 species